GGGUAAACCUGAGAAACCCGAAAGGUCGAACGGGGAGAUUCAACCGCGUCUCGGGCGCCGGCGAGGGGUCGGCUCGUGACGGGUGGCGUUCGCGUCGCUCGCUCAGUCGAUCUCCGUCCGGUCUCGAACGCGUGCACUUCUCCUCUUGUAGGACGUCGCGAUCCGUUGGGUGCCGGUCUAAGGCUCGCGGUGGAGCCCGUACGUACGUUUCGGCGUCACGUGCGGACCCGCGGUGUCCCGCCCGGCUCGCCCGACGGUAUGCAUAUGGCGCUGGGCCGCGACCUGUUCGCGUCCGGCCCGGGGCAAGCUCGGACUAAGCUACGAAAUUCGGACCUAGUGCCGGAUCCGUGCCAGUUCGGCUGUUAGCCUCGGUGUCCUCGGACGGUCCAAAUAAGCGCCGAUCGGCGACGCUAUAGCUUUGGGUACUUUCAGGACCCGUCUUGAAACACGGACCAAGGAGUCUAGCAUGUGCGCGAGUCAUUGGGACUAGCGAAACCUAAAGGCAAAAUGAAAGUGAAGGCGCGCUUACGCGCGCCGAGGGAGGAUGGGCCGGGUCACGACUCGGCCCCGCACUCCCGGGGCGUUUCGUUCUCAUUGCGAGAUGAGGCGCACCCAGAAGCGUACACGCUGGGACCCGAAAGAUG
rnacentral:rRNA from 1 species